AUGGAGCAACCGAUGGCAGUUUAACUGUAUGCAGUGUCUCCAUGCCCCCUUCAGUCAUUAAGCAGUUAACAGGGCAUUCAAAAGAUGUCACAGAUUUUGACUUCUCCACAAACAAUCAGUACAUUGCAUCAUCUUCAAUGGAUAAAACUGUCAGAGUAUGGGAUAUUUCUAGAGGCCUUUGCAUUAGGGUGAUUUAUGGAGUCUCUUCACAGCUUUGUAUUCGAUUUCAUCCUGUGAACAACAACUUCCUUUCUGCUGGCAAUGCAAAAAAAGAAAUAAAUGUGUUCAAUUUUAGCACGGGGAGAACGAUCAGUACAACUGUGGUCGAUGGCGAAGUCACUGCCAUGGACCAUGACCACACUGGUCAGUUUAUUUUCUGCGGUGAUAGUCAGGGGUGUAUUUACACAGUUAGUAUGAACUCACAUACAGGUGCACUAUCUCGAACUCAUCGGAAUAGAAGUAGCAGUAAGCAUAGAUCUGCUGUUACAACUGUUGAGUACAGGACAUUUUCUCUGCUGGCACGAGGCCCUGUCCUGCUGACUUUUACUCGUGACGGAAGUUUGUCUUUUUUCAGCAUCUCUUUGGAGAUGAAAGGUUAUUUGACACUCCGGUGCUCACUGAAGCUGGCUCCACGGCUACACAGCAUUCGUG
rnacentral:misc_RNA from 1 species